rnacentral:tRNA from 1 species
GGUAAAAUGGCUGAGAUAUAGGCAAUAAAUUGUAAAUUUAUGUAGGAAAUUAAAAAUUUUUUUUAUCA